rnacentral:rRNA from 1 species
UGCCAGCCGCCGCGGUAAUACGGAAGGUGCAAGCGUUAUCCGGAAUCACUGGGUUUAAAGGGUGCGUAGGCGGACGUAUAAGUCAGAGGUGAAAGCUCAUCGCUUAACGAUGGAACUGCCUUUGAUACUGUAUGUCUUGAAUUAGGUUGAGGUCAGCGGAAUGAGUCAUGUAGCAGUGAAAUGCAUAGAUAUGACUUAGAACACCAAUUGCGAAGGCAGCUGGCUAGACCUAUAUUGACGCUGAGGCACGAAAGCGUGGGGAGCGAACAGGAUUAGAUA